UUUUUUUUUUUUACUAGUCUUACACUGGACAAGACAACUAUAUGUUGAAUGUGAAAUAAUGGAUGUUAUAUACUCUUAGUAAAGGUGCAAAUAUGCUUAUUUGUUCCUGCACUGUUCCCAUUAAUUCAUUAAUUGUUUGUUCGAGGCGUAUAGCUAUUACUGAAUUCCCUGGCAAUUGGUGAAGAUUUGUUUUCUUAUACCUUUUGUUUUUUGGUCUGUUUGUAAAUGCAGGAGCUACAGGAUAGGGUGGCAGAAGCCAAAGAUUCAAAUGAGGAGUUGAUGAGAGUAGGGAGAGAAAUAGUUGAUUUUCAUGGAGAGAUGGUUUUGUUAGAGAACUACAGUGCACUCAACUAUACAGGUAGUCAUCUUUAUUUGUUGAAACAAUUGACGUUAUUGUUUAAGUUUGAAUGAGGCAUACAUCUUUGAUUGAUAGGAGAACAUAUUGCUUUCUUCUGUGGUCUAUAUGAUUUGUCUUGUUUUUCACCUGUCACAUAAAUACAAUGGUUCCGAUUGAGGGAUCAACUCGUCAAUCUUCUCUAUGUUCUUUUUUUUCUCUCUCCAUGUAUGAAAGUCUGAUAUCUGUUUUUUCAUUUGCUUUCUUUUGGUGUGUCUGCGUUCUGUCAACAGGACUAUUGAAGAUUCUGAAGAAACAUGACAAGCGAACUGGUGUUCUCAUUCGGUUUCCCUUUGUCCAACGGGUCAUGCAACAGCCAUUCUUCAGUACUGAGGUACUCGAUAAGCUCGUGAAGGAGUGUGAGGGGAUGCUUGAUCACGUCUUCUCCAGGAAUGACCCAUCAGGUCCAUCUGAAGCAGCCAAAGCAGAAGAACAGAGCGACUCUGAGCCUGUGACUGAAACUAGAGAAAUUGUACGGAAAGCUCCUAUAGAACUUGCAGAAAUAAAGCAAUUGGAGAGCGUGUACGGGAAGCAAACUGAAACCGCAUUGCGUGUCUUGAAGGAUAUUCGGAGUGGAAGCUCAACUGUGAGUGCAUUUUCAUUGCCCCCUUUGCAAAUAAAUGUGGUGGAGGAGGAUUCAAAGAACAUACAUGUUUUACAACAAGAAGCCAAAUGAAAAUUUGGAUGAAAGAUUACUCUUGCUAUUGAGGAUUUUAAGCUGGUAGAUAGAUACGUAUUGUAUGCUUAGGAAAAAAACUAAAGGAUGGACCCUUUGUGAUUCAUCCCCUCUGCAUUUUUCCCUAGUCAUUGUAAAUCACCAUGACUGAGUUUGCUUUUCUGAAUGUCAAAUGUGAAAAUGGCCUCUCAAUAGAUGGAUGAUCAACUCCAAAUCCUUGUGUUUAAGGUUGAUGUUUUUUUUUCUUCUUCUGUAGGAAUUUCUUUUGGAUCAACUUCUAUAAGACUUUUUUAGUUUUGGUGGUAAGCAAGAAAAAAAAGAGGUGUGAAAACAGAAAACAGAAAAAACUUAAAACGACUCCGCUGGGGAUCGAACCCAGAAUCUCUGGUUUCGUAGACCAGCGCCUUAUCCAUUGGGCCACGGAGUCGUUAUUGGUAGUUGGCUGGUAAAUAAUUUACUUAUCAAAAUUGAAGUUUUACCAUUGGAAGUAGUUGAGACUUGAGAGGUUGAAACCUACAAAUCCUACAUAACGCACUCCUUGAUGACUAACCAUUCUACAUUCUACCAACCAUUAUAGAGACUUAUGGAAUGCAAGUUACAUGAGAAACCUAACAUCAAAUCAACUCUAGUACAUUACGUAAAUUCUGAUUCCUUUUGGUGACUAUAUAAACCCCCACAAACUAUGACCCUCCCUAUUCCAACAAAAAAUGUUUAUAGUUGAAGAAUCACCAGACUUUCUCCAAGUCUUUUCUGAUGGAACUGUGAAACGCUUUUCCCCCGGGAUAGUCACUGCCUCAUCAGAACCCUCCAAUGGAUACAAGUUCAAGGAUGUUGUCAUCGACUCGUCGAAACCAAUUACAGGGAGGAUCUUCAUUCCUUGUGAUCCAACAUCCUCUAGUAAGCUUCCAGUUAUGGUUUAUUUUCAUGGUGGAGGCUUCUGCAUUGGCUCAACCACUUGGAUUGGUUACCAUCAUUUCCUAGGAGACUUAUCUGUUGCAUCGCAAUCGAUUGUUCUCUCAAUUGACUACCGUUUGGCUCCAGAGAACCGGCUUCCAAUACCUUAUGAAGACUGUUAUGAAUCACUUGUUUGGCUUCGUCACCAGGCAAGCUGUGAUCCAUGGCUGAACAAGGCUGACCUCUCCCGGGUUUUCCUAUCCGGUGACAGUGCUGGAGGGAACAUAGCACACAAUGUUGCUGUGAAAACUAUGCACAAUUCACUCAUUCAUGUCAAGAUAAGAGGACUGUUGUUGAUACAUCCUUAUUUUGGGAGUGAAAGGAGAACUGAUAAAGAGAUGUCAACAGAUGAAGAGGCAGUUGGGAAUGUGGCAAGCAAUGACAUGUUCUGGAGACUCAGUAUACCUGAGGGCUCCAAUCGCGACUAUUUUGGAUGUAACUUUGACAAGACAGAACUGUCUCUAACGCAAUGGCGCAACGAUUUUCCUGCUGUGACAGUUUAUGUUGCUGAACUGGAUUUUUUGAAAGAAAGAGGUGUAAUGUAUGCAGAGUUUUUGCAGAGAAAAGGAGUUGAGGUGAAGCUAGUUGAGGCUGAGAACGAGUCCCAUGUAUUUCAUGUUUUCAAACCCGAUUGUGAGGCAACCCGUUUGCUUCAGAAAAACAUGAAUGAUUUCAUUUGGAACUAUUAGCUGCUAUUUCAGAUGACCAUUACUAGGAUAUGUAAUGAAACCAUAUGGAAAAUAAUGGAGAUAGGAAAGCCUUCUAGUUCUUUAUGAAUUUAGUAAAUCUUGUUCAUAUGUAUCAUGUAUGCAACACUGAAGAUGCCAAUCCAUAUAAUUAUCUGAAUUUCCAAAUAAAAAAUUUCGUCUCAUAGCAAGUACUGAUAGCCUACAAGAUCAUUGGCAUAUAUACUGCAAAUUAAGGAAUCAAUAUUAAGAAGACUAUAACACUACAUAUUUCAAUUAAUGUACAUAAGCAUACAAUUAGUCCAGCUAGAAGAGGCCUGCACCUGACGGUGACCAGCUCAUUCGGCUGUGGUAUCAGAAGUGCUCAUGAAACCUCCAAGAAAGCCGGCUCCGUUGCAAUUUCCACACAACAUUUCCUUUCUGCCACUACAAGGAAACAAGAACAAGCAAGAGUAAAUAGCUACCAACAGAUUUCCUCGAAUAUUUAGGUAAUGGCCGGUCUCUUGCAAGAUAUAUGACGUUAUCCAAGUAUAAAUUUGAAUCUCAAAUAAAAAAGAACCAGACAUUAUUAGUAGUUCAAACUCAGAGUUCAGCAACAUAUAUUACAUGAUUUGACAUGAGAAUACUUCCCUACAUACGAGCUAAUACAUGGUAGAUACUAUAUCUUAGUGAUGAUUACCCGCAAAGCCAACAUGAAUCCCCAGCUUUGAACCGUCCACCAAACAGGUCAUCGGAGUUUAUCCCACUCCCUUUGCAUUGAGAGCAGAGAACUGCACCUAAUUAAUACAAUUGGCAAACACAGAAUAAGAUUUUCUCCCUAUACAUUACAUUCUUGCUAUCUGUUGUAGUAACUAACUGUCAGCUCACCAUUUCCCUCACAAUCAGAACAAACCAUGCUGUUUCGCUUUGUGCUUUCAUCACUUUUUGCAGCCUAUGCGAUUCAAAACACCAAACAAAUUCCAUCUCAGUACACCUGAGCAAUAUCAUAAUGGCACAAUACUUGUCUAGUGUCUAUGUCUAUGCAUCAAAAUGAUAUCAUGAAUUCUAGUAUUUAGGUCAGUUUACCUUAGCUUUAACAUUGAAGCCUUUAGCAGCAGGGCAAUUUUGGACGAAGUAGUUUAUUGUAAUGAGCUUCUGAUUACUGAUAUGCUUGCCUAUACAAAAUAGGUAAAUAUCAUUGAGGCAGUGACAUAACAACUCAAUUCUAAUAAGGAACAUGCCAAAAAAUUAGAGAGACCUGGUUCUGGGGUGGCCUUGAAGGAACUUGAAGGAGCUGAGUAGAGAGCAUAUGCCAUUAUUGAAGACUGAAGAGUGAAGAAUGAGGGAGGAGCUAGCUGGCAACCUUGCACCACCAGUCUGACUCGAAACAUGUGGCUGGAGUCAGGCACCAGAAUACCAGAUUUUCUAUGAACUUAUUUGGGCCAGUGGGCUGAGUGUGGAUUUUUGAUUGGACACAAUUCUGAAGCUUGAGGCCCAAUAAUGAGGAGGGUUGAAACUGUGUCCCAAUGACCUGAAAAUGACAUUAGCCUCCUUGCUGAACUUUGAACAUUUGAUAGAAAAAUAUCAAUGACCAAAUAAUUGAACGGUAGCUCACUAACUCCCAAGUACCAAAUUAAUUUUUACCUUUUUUUUUGUUCUCUUUCAACCUUUUAGAUAAGUUUUUAUCAAUCUAGCUUGAAUGAUACUUAAUACUUCAUAGUAUAUGUUAUGUCAUUCAUAUAUUCUUAAUGCUAACUUGCUAACAAGCAAUGUAUUGGUUUUGGGUACAAAAGUCUCUUUUUAUGGUUGAUAUACAGAAGCCCAAUCUUACGACUUUAGAAAUAUUAGAAAAUGAAAGUCCUUACUAACAUACUAUCAUCAGAUAUGUAAUAAGGUAUAUCUUAUAGUUUGUUUUCUUAUCUAUGAUUCAAUAAAGUAUAACUGAAAAAUACGCUUUUCUAGUUCUCUAGGAAGAGCUAAACUAAACAUUUGAGCACAACAGGCUUAGAGAAAUUCAAAAACAAAUAAAUCGCUGAGGAAAAAAAGAGAAUAUUACCAGAUAUUUUCUUAAUAAAUAAAAUAAAUAAUAAGACACAGUGGUACUAUGGUAAUUAUCGUUAAACAGCGAGGUUAAUUACGGCAUCUGGUUGUCUAUAUAUGCGGCUCCCAAUCUUCGAACCCUAUCUAUCUCUCAAUUCGCUUCCCUUCCGUCGAGGUCUAAAUCCCGACCCCCUCUCUUUCUCUCUCUCUCAAAAACAAAAAAAAGUUUUCAAAUUCGAUUUUUUCAGCUAACAAUUUUCAAUUGCAGACUCUCUCUCUCUCCCAAACCCCCCUAAACCCUAACCCUAAUUCAUCCUACUCCACACUUCCGCACAGGUAAAUUCUUCUAUCAAACCCUAGCUCUUUCUCCGAUGUCGGAUUCGAAUUUCAAAACCCUAAUUUGCGCCUCAACGAUUCGCAACCCUAAUUGGAGGUUUCUUCAGCAGAGAUAUGGGCGAAACCAGGGAGGAUGUCUACGACGAGGAGCUCGUCGAUUACGAGGAGGACGACGAGAAGGCCCCUGACUCCGCGGCCAAAGUCAAUGGCGAAUCCGCCAAGAAGUAAGUUUCUGAUUCGAAGAUUCUUCCAGCUGUUUCUGGCUAGUUGAUUAUUCGAUCCAAUUGUAUGAGUGAUCUGUAGGUCUAAUUUGUUUGUUAUUGGCUUUGUGCAGGGGAUAUGUUGGAAUUCACAGCUCAGGAUUCAGAGAUUUCCUACUAAAGCCGGAGCUUCUACGUGCUAUCGUGGACUCGGGAUUUGAGCAUCCUUCUGAAGGUGUGCAUCGUUCAGUGAUUCCUCCAAUUUUGCCUUGUGUUAUUAGAGAUUUGAAGUUUAUAAAAGCAAAACUGUCAGUUAUGAAGUUCUUUGAGAUUCAAAGUUGCUAUUUGAACUAAAUUGUUGAAACUUUGUGGUGUUUUAAAUUCCCUUUGAGAAAGGGUUGUGGAUUUCAAUUUAUGGCGUUGUAAUUGUUGUGUUCAUAUGUGCGGUACAUGUGGUAGAGUAUUGAUUUUGUGUUAUCUUGAUGUCUCUUCCAUUGGGAUGAUGUUUCAUCCCUAUUUCUGCUUGCUUAAUUUAAUGUAUUUUUUUUCCAGGUAAUUUGUUCUACUACCAUAAUAUUGAAUUCAGAGUCUGGUAAAGACUUUCAUAAAAGAUUGGAGACGUUUUGUUUUACUUACCAAUGGUUCCUUGGAUCGUUCUACAUCAGUACAACACGAAUGCAUCCCACAAGCUAUUCUGGGAAUGGAUGUUAUCUGCCAAGCUAAAUCUGGGAUGGGGAAAACGGCUGUGUUUGUCCUAUCUACUUUGCAGCAGAUUGACCCUGUGGCCGGCCAAGUUUCUGCACUUAUUCUUUGCCAUACUAGGGAAUUAGCUUACCAGGUACUGUUCAGAUCCACAUUUUUUCAUUCUACAACUGAUUUAUGAUUGUUAUUUGAAAAUAAAUAAAUAAUUAAAUACGUUUGCUGAUUCCUUCUUACCCUUGAUUUUGAAACUUUCAUAUGUAUUUAAUACUCACUUAUGCUCAACAUCGUGCAGAUUUGCCAUGAGUUUGAGAGAUUCAGUACCUACUUGCCAGAUCUCAAGGUUGCUGUCUUCUAUGGUGGUGUCACUAUCAAAAAUCACAAGGACUUGCUGAAAAACGAGUGCCCCCACAUUGUUGUUGGGACUCCUGGAAGAAUACUAGCACUCGCAAGAGAUAAAGACCUCUCAUUAAAGAAUGUGAGGCAUUUUAUCCUCGACGAGUGUGACAAGAUGCUUGAGUCACUUGGUAUGGUUUUGUUUUACAGCAAAUAAUUGAUGUGUGAUAUGUAUAUAUCAUAUUUCUUUCACUUAAUAGUUCCGUAUUUUACUCAUUAUUUGCUUUUUACACAGACAUGAGGAGAGAUGUGCAAGAGAUAUUCAAGAUGACGCCCCAUGAUAAGCAAGUAAUGAUGUUCUCUGCAACACUCAGCAAAGACAUCCGACCGGUUUGCAAGAAAUUUAUGCAAGAUGUAAUGUCCCAUGGCCAGUACUACUUCAAUUUUGAAGUCUCUUUUUCCAUAAUCCCACUUUCUACAAGAGUUUUCUAAUUACAUAGUAUGCGGUGAUCCCAUGGUGCUUGCUGUUGGCAUUGCGUUUGCACAAUAUCCUUAUUCUGCCGUUGGAAUAUGCGGCUUGAUAAUGGUGUACAACUGGAGUGGAAAGAUAUAAGUAUGCGUUUGGGGGGGGGGGGGGGGGGGGGGUCUUUUAGGACAGUUGUCGGUGUCUUCUGUACUGCAUUAGUAUCUUCUUACUUCUUUCUCCGGUAUAGGAUUUUUUUAAUAGGUAUCACUAGUGGUUUUAGUAUGGGGUUGAGCUGUUUUUGGAUUGCUCCAGUUUUGUGUGUGAGGGUGUUGGAGAUAUUGUGCCUGGGUGUUGUGGGUGAUUUGGUAAUAGAUUAUAUUGAGCGUCAGUGGGUUGAUGGUGGUUGCUGAGUGGUUUAGAACAGUAUCUUGGAGGAGACAAAAAGAUGGACCAGCUUCAUCCUUCAUCCAUCCAAGAGAUGUGCAUCCGUCAUUCAUUUCGUUCUGGAUUCUAUUAGCUUGAGGAAGGCACCUAAUAUGAUUUACUGUGACAUUUGUUCCUUUCAGCCUAUGGAAAUAUAUGUUGAUGACGAAGCCAAGUUGACUCUCCAUGGUCUAGUACAGGUAAUUUUUUUUUAUAAGUUGACUGUUAGUUUCUUACACUUGAUCAGGAAUAUGAAUCUUACAUUCUUAGCAUUGUGUCCGAAAUGUCAGCACUACAUCAAGUUAACCGAGGCAGAGAAAAACCGCAAGCUGAAUGAUCUCCUCGAUGCACUGGACUUCAACCAGGUCGUCAUAUUCGUUAAAAGCGUGAGCAGAGCGGCAGAGUUGAACAAGUUACUCUCAGAGUGUAAUUUUCCCUCGAUAUGUAUCCAUUCUGGAAUGAACCAAGAAGAAAGGUAUGUAAAGUCCUAUAAUUUCCCAUAUCUUGAUAUUAAUGUAGGAUUAUUUGGCUGAAGUAUGCAGUCUCGUGUACAUGUUUUGAGUAACAUUUGCGGUGAAGUUUACAUCUGUUAUACCAUGCAUGGUGUUGUGUGUGUGUGUUUUGUCUUUCAUCUUUGUGAUUGUAUAUAAAUUGCUUCCUAGGUGAGUAUGUUAUUGAUUUAUUCUGUGCUGGUCCCCCAAUUAUGUUUCUUUUGGUUUUUGGGGGUUGCUCUUUAUCUAUAUUUCAAUAUCUCCUUGUGCUUGUUGCAAUAUCCAGCGUGAAUUUUCUUUGAACAUUAGGGUGUAAACCCCAAGUUGGAUACAUUAUGUCUCUCACUGUAUCCUAAUCGUAGUGUCUCCUUGUGCUUGUUGCAAUAUACAGAAUGAAAUGUCUUUGAACAUUAGGAUGUUAACCAUUGUUUGCCACAGUAUUCAGACAUUAACGCUAUUGCAUGCCUGUGCAGGUUGAAGCGCUACAAAGGAUUCAAGGAGGGUCAGAACAGGAUUCUUGUCGCCACUGAUUUGGUUGGUAGAGGAAUUGAUAUUGAACGUGUCAAUAUUGUUAUCAAUUAUGACAUGCCAGACUCUGCUGACACCUACUUGCACAGGGUAUGUCACGUUUGACAUUUGAUAUCUCACCGCGUUCCAUGUUAUGAAGGAUUUAUUUAUAUGAUGUUGCAUUUAGAUUGCUUCCAUAUUAUUGUGUAGCUGAAUGUAUCACUGGCCUUUAAGCUCACCCAAAUGCUUUCUUCAAACCAAAUAUUGACAGGUCGGCAGAGCUGGUAGGUUCGGCACCAAAGGGCUGGCGAUUACAUUUGUAUCAUCUGCUUCGGACUCUGAUGUCCUUAAUGAUGUAUGCACUAUUCUUUUUAUUACCAUUAUUUACAUUGCUGUUUAUCCAGUUGGUGAAUUUAAUUGUUACUUUUUACGACGACAGGUUCAGGAGAGGUUUGAGGUUGACAUAAAGGAGCUUCCUGAACAAAUUGACACUGCCACAUACAGUAUGUUCUUUUCUCCUCUUUUCUUCUGUGUUAUUGUGCGUUGUAUACAUUUAGUGAACUGGUUCAACAAAUGAGAUAGUGGUGACUUUUGGUACCUGUUCGUUUAUUGUUUUCUCCUUUUUGCAAAAAGAAAAAGCAAAGGAAUGUCAACACAUGGAAAUAUUGAUUCAAUCUAUUGUUAUCUUCACUGGUUCUGAACUUUUGCACCUCGAGUGACUGUAUGACUGUUCAGUUUGUGUAGAACGUUGGUAUUGAAUGGGAUUAUCUCUUUUACAAACUUAAAGUUUUUGCUGAAUUUGUUUUUAUUUUUAUAUCCUUUUUAUCUCGCAAAAUGUCUCUUAAUUUUUGGGCUAAUGUCACAACUACGGCUUAAAUGCUUUGUUUCAUCAAAACAACCAUGUUAUUUUUAGUAGUACGGGAUCCAUGUAAAUGGCUUAUGUUCAUCACGGCCAGCUCUACUGUUUUCAAAACUAGCUUAUUAUUGUUCCAUGUAGCAGUAAAUUGUUGUCUUAUGUUCAAUAACUGUCAACGCUACUCUGUUGUGGUUCAUAAUAGAAUGCUAAUAACUAUUGUUCUUGUUUGCAGUGCCAUCUUAAAUGGAGUCCCUGUCUCGUCAAAAUCGCUUAUAGCGUUCAGAAUGUGGAUGCGGCUGGAGCAGAUUCUGUUUCUUUGAUUUAGACUGUUUGAUCCUCCAGACAUUACCAUAUUGUGGCCUAGCUCCUACCCCUUAUUAUGUGUGGCUUUUGAGAUGUAGCUGUAUUGAAAUUUUUUCAGAAUUGAUUUGCAGUGUUAUGUAACAUUAACUAGUUGUGCUUAUGCACGGUUGCUGGAAAACAAAUGGAUUUUCUUUGGUCGAUAUGCUUCCUAUUUAUCAUCUAAAUGUUGGUAAUGAGAAAAUAUAACCCUCUGCUGCUUGCGACUCUGGUCACACGUGACACACUGACACAUACAUACAAUUGGAGAUGGGAGUUGUUUUAGGUGAAACCCUGCAAUUGCAGCAGCAUGCUCUCUACUACCAUUUGUCGGAUCGACUCGUGUAGGAUCCUCGUGUUUUGUCGAGGAAAACUUGUGCAGAUCGACUCGUGUAGAUCCUCAUUUUGCUUGUAAACAUUAAAUUUUGACGACUAUUGAAAUAUUUUGCCUGAUGCCAUGCCUUCUAGUCGGCAAAUAAUGACAUUUAAUAUUUAAAGAGAAAAGAAAAAGAAAGUCAAAAUGACUUGAUACUGCUUCUUCUUCUUCUUCUUCCAUAGUUGAAUGUUUCAGUCGGAUUGAUAUCAUUGGAACAGAAUCAGCCGAACCCAACUAGUCCAUGAUACUAUCCACCAAACCAACUGCGACAAGUGACGACUUCAGCUUUAGACACCUCACUUUGUGACUAGGUGACCUUCCUCCUACUACAUCAUCCAUUUCCUCGAUCCAAAACUAAACAGAGGAAAGACGGGCACUGUUUCGGGUAAUAAAGAUUGUUACUUUACUUACUUCAGAUGGAGAGAGAGUAGUUUUCAAUUCUGUCGAUUGUUUGAUUUCCGAGGAUAGGAGAUGAUGAUGAUGUUGUUGCCUUUGAGUUGCAUUCUAAGGUGGGACCAGUUCAUUUUUUAUGUUUUUUUGGAAUUUUUCUUUUCUUGAUUUGCAGAUGAUCCAGACAUUUAGUUUGAUUAUACUUUUGUGUAUACAGAAGUUUCUCAAAUUAGAAAGUUUUUCACUUCAAAUUCAAUCUUUAUUUUCACUUGCAAGUGAAGAUGUUUAUACUGAAUGGUCCAUCUAGCAAAUUGUAUAGUUCAGGAUUUGGUACUGCUAGUUUAAUACAGUGUAGUUCAAGUAUCAGAUGCCCAGCCCUUAAAAGUUAGUGUAGUCUUUAAUCUUCGUACAGGUUUUGUUCAUUGAUUUUAAGUCAUUUUGUUUUGGGGCUCUUGAAAAGUUUUCCUAAAGAUCUGGUGUCUCUAAAAAGGGCCCAAGUGUUGUGCUUCUGCAUGGCUCGACCUAAUCUAUCAAUGACUCUUGUUCAACAGGUUCACUUCUAUGUUGAGGAUAGAUGAAGUUUUAAUGUUUUCCUUGGACAAUGUGGAGUACGGUGAAUUCAUUUCCUGAUAUCUUCGUAGUCAGGAUUCUUGGGGAAGUUUACUACUAUGAAUGUAUUGAAAGAGAAUAUUCAUUACGUUUGUGGUUCCAGAAUUAUAUAUUAUGAUCGUAGUCCAAUGCUAGUUCACCAUAUGAUCUCUAUGCCUUACCUGUAUAGGUGUGAGGUGUUUUCAUGCAUUAAUCUAAAUUUGUUGUUUGUGUGUGUGCACCAAUUUGUUCAGGUCAACCGCUAUAUAGAGUGGCAUCUUGUUGUACUGGUUUUAUGGGCCUUGGCUAAUGCUGGUAAGAUUUCAGAGGCUUAAGAGUUGCUCAAGGGUUUGAAGUCCAGGUGAGAAUCUUGCCACUCUAAACCACACCUUAUUUGAUUUUAGAAAAUUGAUCUAAAUGGUAUACGAACUUUUGCUUCUUAUAAACUUUAGUAUCUCAAGUUUCAAAAAUAUCAUAAAGGUAUAUGAAGUUUUAACCUCGACUAAACUUUAGUACCUAGCGCCGUUAGAUCUGUUACGUCAUCUGCCAGCUGGCAUUGCAUAAUGUAAAAAUGCUAAUUUACCCUCUCUCUUUUUCCUUCUCUUUCUUCCUCAGAUAAUACAAAAUGAUUAUUUUUUUUUCUUAAAAAAAAAAAAGCAGAACCUCAGACCUUGGAGUUAGCUAGCUGACCGUCAAGGGCCAUGCCCUCCGUGACCGAUGCCAGCUUCUGUAGAUUCAACCCGAUGAAAUAGAAAUUGGGGCAUCAGUUCCGCGGGCAAACAACUCUUUAGGAGCUGCGGCGGCGGUGGAGGCGGUGGCGGAGUGGAAGAGUGAGAAUGAAGACGCCAUUGUUGAUGAUGGUGGUGGUGCCGAAUCAAAAAUCCGCCGAAAUAGACUUUCCUUUUUCUGCUCACCCAAUAUCCCAGUACGCCGACACCUUUUUCAACAAACCCACUACCUCUUCUCAUCUUAAUCAUCAAUCCCACAUGGUUCCUCCCUGCUCAGACACAGAGCAAUAGGCAAAAAGGAAGCAAAGCAAAAAAAANAAANNNNNNNNNNNNNNNNNNNNAUAUAGAGAGAGACCCAGAAUCCUUGAUAAUUGAAGGCGCUUGGUAUCAAUGGUGGUAAUGAGGCACAAAAAUAGAGCAGAAAUGGUUAUUAAGAAAAAAAUUAAAAACUAAAAUAAAGCUGAAAAUACGGAUGUGCUCAUAAAAAAUUGACAGGUAACAGACGAUAUAACAGAGAUAACGGCAUUAGUACUAAAGUUUAGUCGAGGUCAGAACUUCAUAUACUUUUCUGAUAUUUUCGAAAUUUGAGAUACUAAAAUUUAUAAAGAGUAAAAGUUUGUAUACCGUUUGGAUCAAUUUCUCUUGAUUUUAUGUGAAUGCUUAUUAAUAAUAUUCCUUCUGUAGAGUGUUUUUAUGAACAAUAGAGUUAUGCUAUUACUUUUACCCUGAACUUCUUCCCCAUAACUAUCAAGAAAGAAAGAGUUAUUCAUUGAUCCAGUGGUUUGGGGAUUUACGUUCAGUCUUUCCACUUUACAACGUAUUCUACAUUCAACAAAUUUUAUUGUGGUUUCCUAUUGAAGUUGUAUGUUUGUUUAACCGUAUCUUUGUUAACAGCUUGCAGAGGCCUUGUAAGAGUAUGGGAGGAGUAACGAAAAACAUGCAAUGGAUCAAUUGUUAGGUCCUAAUUUUGAUGCUGAUAACUGUAUGACAAUUGGAGCAUCUGGUGAACAUCUGGACGUAUUCAAUAUAUGAAGUUUAGUACUGUAUGUUCCUUAACAAUGGACAAGCUACAAAAGGUAUGAUACAAGUCAUCCUCCCAGCAUCAAACUUCCUAGAGAUUUUCUUCUGACUUUGUCUAAUUUUAGCAAUUGAGGUGAUUUAGAAGUAGAUCAAAGCAAGAGACGGGGUCCCUUUCCUUUGGCGCCUCCUGGUAUAUAUCUUAAUGAUCUUUUAGAUUUAUAACUACAAAUUGCAUAUGAGCAAUUGAAGUGCUUUCCGCUAGAAAACAAUAAUGCAUAUAAAGAGGAGAGCCUAUUCCAUGCACGACUCGUGCAGCUGCAUCAGGACGCCGGAUUACGAAUGGCCUUUUUUCUUUUCCUUUCUCAUCUCUCAUCUCCCUUGAUUACGAAUCCGGAUCCUCUUCUCAUAUCUCCUCAUAAAUUAAUCUCAGCCUUUUAUUUUCAACCAGUUAACAUUAAACCCUAUUUCACAUCUACCCAAACUUAUCUCUCUCUCUUCUCCUCAAAAUAUCAUAUCGGGCUGUUAAAAACCAAACAACGCUCUCUCUCUCUCUCUCUCUCUCNCUUCCUCGUCGCAUCACUCUGCCNCCUCCNCCGGCGACGCCUCCACGUCCUCCGGUUACGCUGGCACGUCCUCUCUCUCUCUCUCUCUCUCCACGACGUCCUCCACCAUAUCCCAAGCUUCAAACUUUUCACUACUGGGUUUGAGGUUCGAUCUCCACCUUGGGUUUUAGUUUGGCUUGUUUUUCUUCCAUUUGAAUUAUGGUUUAUGUGAUUUCUGCUACUGGGUUUUCUUCCAUUUGAAUUCUAGGGAUUGAAGUUGGAUUGUUUCUGGUGCACUGUAAAUUGGAUUGGCUGCUGGUUUCUCUGUGGUAACGUCUUCUGAUCAAUCUUGUGGAGAAAUGCAUUCCUUGUGGUAAUGCAUGUAUAACCCCAAGCCCUCCUGUUAUAUAGUCUUGUUGGCAAGACAUUGCUUGUAGUCAUAUGUCUGUGUAAUAAUCUUGUUGGCAAGGUCCAGGUACUUCUGAAUAACCCCAAGACUAUAUAACAGGAGGGCUUGAGACAAUGGUGAAUUGAACACUAUCUACGUAGCACCUUCCAUCUUUUCAAACACUUUUGCUAAACCAAAAGGACUCCUGUUUUGAGAGCACUUGCACACCCAUUGUCCUUUGGCUGCUAAGGACUGAUACAUUGAACAACCAGUUCAUAUUCAAUUCACCAUUGUCUGUUUUUGGCUUUACCUUCUUGGAUUACACAAUAAUUCUUAUGAUACUAAUUUCUGUAUAAGUUUAAUAAUCUCUAUGCUGCAUCUUUUUUAAUCAAAAUGCAGGGAGUUGCCAUGGCCGAUGCUCUGCGUCAGGUUUCUGCGUAUUGCAUUGAACUUAGAUUCCUAGAAUCCCUUAACUAAGAGAUUCUUUUUCUUUUCUUUUUUUUUUUGGGUAUAAUUUGAUCAUAUCCUAUCAAUUCUGAAACAAAGCAGGGCAAGUAUAAAGCCAUUGCAGUUUGUUGGGUUCUUGGACUAGGGACUCUAUUUCGUGGAACAGUAUAGUACGUGACUAUAGCAGAUUACUAUUAUAAUCUUUUUCCGGUGAGCACAUUCAUCAUGUUGUGUUCUUUAUGGAACUGAGUCACAACUUACUAGACCGUUCUGUUUUUGUUUGAGAUCUAAAAAGAACAUUGUAUAGAUUUAUAUAUUACAAGAACAUAAUGAUUAUCAUUUUCCUAUUGCAGGAAUACCAUCCUUCGAGGGUUCUAACCUGUGUUUAUCAACCAUUUUCAUACAAAGAGGCAGAAACAUAUACAAACUUUCUUUAGUCCCAUGAAUCAGUUUUGGUAGAGGACAUACUCAGAAUUUUAGUACUUACCAGCUUCUCAAACUUCCAUGCAUGCAGGUCAAAAAUGAUGCUAACCGACCAGAUAGAUUGAGGAACAAGCAAUUAUUUAUGCAAAAUAUAGAUUAUUCUCUCGACUUGUUUCUCAUAUAGAUUAUUCUCUCGACCGAAGUGUCCUUGAAAGAUGUAUGGAUGAACAAAGGACACUCUAUGAUUUUCGGCAAACAUAACAAAUCAAAGGUAAGCAAAUGUCAUGAUUACUAAACUUUUGGUAAUGUAACUUUAACUUUGGAUGGAAGCUUUCAUUUGUUAUAAUAUUUUGUUCGUGUUUUAUGAGAGGUAUUAUGAUAAAAUUCUAAAAUUGAUAUUUAAACGGACAGACUAACGAAUUGGGAAUUUGUUAACGGCUGUAUACUAAUAUGGAUUGAGCUAUUAAUGAUCUGAUGGGUAACGAGAUGACUCCAGAUCAAAAAAAUUAUUCUACUAAACGGAUCCGAUUGAUUUAGGUCCAUACACUCCGAAUAUAGUCCAUUUACAGGUAUAGCUGAGACCCCGGCCCAUCCAUCCUUUUAGUUGAUCUUUUGGUGAUGUAACACGAAAAUGAAUGAAUUCCUGCCUUGCGGAUCCAAUUAAUAUAUUCAUGACUUCAGGAAUCUUUGUGUAGAUGAACCUUUCCUGUCUUGGUUGGUAAAGAAUAUAAUAAUUAAUAGAAAACUUUUCUUCUUUGCUUCCUUUGUGGUUUUGGUGUUCGAACCAAACAGUGCUAUAAGUACGUACUUUCCACAUCUAAUUAGUUCUUAUCAUUUGGAUUCGUAAACCAUGCAGAAGAAGUCUUGAACUGCUGGUAAGUUUUUGUGAUUAGUCAUUUAUAUAUGUUUUUGUGAUUAAUCAUUUAUUCAUAUGAUAGCUAGGCUUGAUUCUUGACAUAUUAUGCUUUUUUGUAAAUUAAUUUUAUCGCAUAUAUUGAAAUGUUAAGGGAAAAUUUCAUUAUAUAUCUGUAUAUAUUAAGCGAAGCGGGGGGCAUUACUGUUCACAGAACAGUGUCCUCGCCCCUUAAGAUGGAGCCAUGUACAGCUACAAUCGAAGGCCCAAAACCCACCACGUAUAUGUCAACUUUACGUUUGUAUUCCCCGGUUUCUCACUUCCAGCUUUCCACCAUCUCUCUUUUUCUCAAUUCUACCCGAACAACUCAAGAAAAGUUUGGGCUAUUGCAAAAGUUCCUCUCUCUGCAAAAGUUCUUCGUUCUGCAAAAGUUCUUCUCUCUGGAAAACUCAUUCAGUUGGUGUGUUGGACUUUUGGUUUUCUCCUUCAUCUCUCUGUAAAAGUUCUUCUCCGGCCAUAUCCAUAUUUGGUUUUUGGUGUAGUCUCAGUUUAGCUUUGGGAUAUAACCACGCACGCGCGAAACGUGGGUUUCAAAGCUAGUAUACUUAACUAGAACCUCGAUCUAUCGCAUACGUGAUUAGUCAUUUAUAUAUGUUAAUACUUAACUAGUCGUAUGCUCGUAUGUUCUGAAUCCCAUGCAAGGCCAUGUGUGUAUAUUUUCUUAUUUUUCUUCUUUCAUUUAUACUAGCAUCUUGACCCGUAUUAUGUGCGUGUGUGAAUUUUUUAUUUUUUUGUUUUUACUAUUACAAUUAUGUUUAAAGUCUUAUUUCCCUCUACUUUUCUCUCCCCCUCCCACAUUUUAAGUUUCUUUCUUUCUGUUUUUUUUUUCUUGUUUCCAACAUUUGUAAUUAUUAAUUUAUCCUUCAUCUGUUAGAAGACAUAUUUUAAAGUUUUAAUCAAUCAAAGACAUUAUAGGUAGUUCAAAAAUUUAACCGUUGACAAAGUCAAAAAAGCCUUCUGGCUUCUGGCUUUAUUAAUAGAGAUUUGAACUUUUUUAACACAAUAAACAUUUGGUUCAGUUGAGCUCACUGUAAAUUUUAAAAACAAUUGAUGAAGAAAUUUUUGGCCAAAUCAUCUCGAAUGGUGUUGAUCGAUGAUGAAAUGAAUGCAUGCAGUGUCAGUAUUGUCAUAGUCAAGAGCGAUAUGAGCGACAACAAUGGAUCUACUUCUACUCCUCGAGAUGACACAGAAAAGGCGUCUACUCCAUUAGAAAUUUUGAUAGGAGAGAGGCUAGAACAGUUGGCUCCCCUAUCUGCUUCAUGUUCUAUUUACAGAGUUCCAGAGAGGUUAAGGAGUCUAAAUCCAAGUGUCUACACACCCAAACUAGUUUCAAUUGGCCCAUUACACCAUGGCAAUGAAACCUUACAAGACAUGGAGGAGCACAAAUACAGGUACCUACAACAAUUUCUAGAUCGCACCAAUGAAAACUUGGAGUACUAUUUACGAAAAAUAAGGUACCAAGAAGCAACAUUGCGUAGUUAUUAUGCAGAAACUAUUAAGUUUAGCAGUGAUGACUUGGUAACUAUCAUCCUUGUGGACUCUGCAUUCAUCAUUGAGCUCUUUUUGAACUACUAUUUCAAAGAAGCUUAUAGCACAGACAGGAUAAUGAGAGCACCAUAUAUGAUAAUUGACGUAAGAGCUGAUCUGCUUUUGCUUGAAAAUCAACUCCCAUUUUUCAUUCUUGAGGAUAUUUUUCCAGAAAAAGUUCAUAGAAAUUCCCGUACGCAGAAUUCUCAGAGUGAGAGGCUUUCAUUUAUUCAACUCUGCCGAACUUUCUUUAAACAAGAAUUAGAGGCAGUUGGAGUGGACUGCAAUUUGGAGAGGGUAAAUUCUUCUGAAGUAAAAGGAGCACAUUUUCUUGAUAUUAUAAGAAAUUUAUGUCUACCACCAGAACCUCUAGUUCGAGGCACACGCAACGCUGCCACCCCUAUUGCACCAAGCAUCACACAACUACACCAAGCUGGAGUCAAGUUAGAAGUGGGAUCAACCAGAAACUUAUUUGGCACACGAUUUGAUAAUGGAAUUCUGCAAAUUCCAAAAUUGCAAAUGUCUCAUCGUAUGGUGGAUACAAUGAGAAAUAUUGCUGUGUUUGAACAAUGUCAUCACUUGAAUUGCAGGAUAGCUGAUUUCCUUGACCUCAUGUAUUGUUUUGUGGACACCGCGAAGGAUGUGGAGUUGCUUGCCGAGUAUGGAAUUGUUAAAAAUUUGAUAGGUGACAACAGUGAGGCGUGUUCUCUGAUUAAAAACCUUAUCAAGGAGAUUCAUGUGAAUUCCAAUGACUUCUGCUUCACUCCUCUUUAUGAAGAUCUACACAAGCACUGCAAAAAGCCAUGGAACAAAUGGAAGGCAAAUUUGAAGCAAAAUUAUCUGUACACGCCAUGGGCACUUGUUUCUGUUCUCAUCAUACUCACUAUCAUACAAACGGUGUGUUCUGUCAUCUCUCUUUGAGAGAGUCUCAACAAUAUAUAAGUACUACCUCAAAGUGUGUAAUUGAGUGGUCUUCCAUAAGUUAUGUAUUUUCCAGUGCGAGAUGUGAAUGAAAUAAAAGUUGGUAUGCCGCAGAUCGCGUGCUAGAUUUCUUAAUCUUUCUUACUUAAUUAUAAGUUAAUUGGUUAAAAGUUCAUAAUUUCCGUUUUGUUAACUGUUUGUAUGUUUGGCUUGUAGAUACUGAGGAAGCACAUGAAAGUUUUGGUUGCAAUGUCUACAAUGACAGAUGAUAAUUAAAAAUAGAAAUUCUCCAUGGCCAAUUUUGUUUCGUUUUUGGAAAAUAAUUCGAGGAACUGCAUGAUUGAUGCAUAACUGCAUAUAAGAACCUACGUGCAUCUAUCAUUUUGCUAUCAGCCUAGCUACGUACAUCUUUGUGCUCGAAAAAUAUGGACUUCGAGUGUAACUUCAUGCUGCUGCUGAAUCAGCUCGAGCACAAUAGCAUCCCUUGCUUGCAAAUCAUUAUCUCUUGCAAAUUUUGUCCAACUGCCAUGGAUUCUUGCAUAGUCGUUUUCCCCGCACCGGCUGACGAUGCAUUUAGCACACCAAGUUCCCCCAUUUGGAAUUUGUAGGUUUACACUGCAACCUUGAAAGAUGUAUUGAUGAACAAAUAACCUCUUGGAUUUUGGGCAAACAUAACAUAUUAAAGAUAAACAAAUGUGAAGAUUACUAAAGUUUUGGUCAUGUAACUUCAACUUGCGAUGGAAAUCUUCAUUUGUUAUUAAUAUUUUGUUACUGUUUUAUGAGAGGUGAUAAAUUCAACUUUAGGAAUCUGUUAAUCGGCCGUUUACGAAUAUGAAUUAAGCUAUUAAUGAUUCGACGGGUAACGGUGACGAGAUCAGAGAAAAAAAUUUAUGUUAAACGGAUCCGUAUUUGGGUCGAUCUGCUCCAAAUCCAGUCAAUUUACAAGUCUUGCCCCGUCCCAUCCAUCCUUUUUGAUUUAUCUAUUGGUGAUGCAUGUAACACGAAAAUGAAUGAAUUCCUGCCUUGUGGAUCUCAUAUAUAACUUCAGGAAUCUGUGUAGAUGAACCUUUCUUGUCUUGGUAUAAAAAUUGAAAACUUUGCUUCUUUGCUUCCUUUGUGGUUUUGGUAUAUAUUCGAACCAUACCGUGCUAUAUAAGUACAUUCCACUUCUAAGUUCUAAUCAUUUGGAUUCGUGAACCACGCAAAGAGAGAUCCACCCUAUCAUUGCAUCAAUUAUUAAUGUGUACUAAUAUUCAGCAAAAAAAAAAAAAAAAAAAUUAACAUAAUAACUUCAACCAAAACCAAAUAUACAUAAUAAUAUCCUCACCUGUGCAGGCUUCUUUUUGCUUUUGCUUAAUGCAACUUCCAUGAUGGGUAGAUUCUCUCUUUUUGAAUCCCUUUGCAUUAGAGCAAUCAGCCAAUAUGCUCUGGUCUUGAUCUUCCACAUCUUUAUCACCACUUAUUUCUAGACGUAACACAUCUUCAACACUCUUUGCUAACUUAUCAGCUUCCAUUUAUGCAAGCUCAUAUGCCUUCUCACUCUCAGAUGCUCUUGAUGCUACUCGAACAAAUUUAGAACAUAAACUUCUAUAUCGGGAAGUUUGUUUCAGUCUUGGAUUCUCUACAAUCUGGUGCCCAUGCAUGUCUUUCACAACAUUAUCAACUCUUGCACUUUUGGUCCACCUCUCUAAGACAUAUUGCUAAGGUAUCUUUUUAAUUAGUGUAGUUUCUCUGCCUUCUAUCAUGACUUUGAUACAAUGCCUACAUGCCUACACAAGACACCCUCCAUCUCAAACAUUCUACAGCUGCAAGCUACAGUAAACUCACCUUCUCUUUUCACUAGCCGCUCUUUAGUGAAUGCAUCUCUAACAACAGUGAAGAUAAACUUUUCACCAUUGGACACACACUUCGUUAUGGAAGACUUUAAAGAGUCUUCAAACUGAGCUUGAGAUAUUUUAUAGAUCGCUUUGGUAUAAACUUCUUGUGCAUGUAUCAAGAUGCUUACCUCCAUUUUGCAGUGAACAAUUCGGAACAUCAGAUCAUACUCGGCUUCCAAUUCCUUAUACCGCUUAUCAUAUACCAUUCUUUCAAAGUGAGUAAAAAACUCAGGUAGCUGGAGGUCUGAUUUUAAAUAACCCUUCAAACUAGCAUUGAAGCUUUCACUCAGUUGUGUAUUGUGCAUUCCUGCUGACCAUGUACACUUCACAUAUGCAUGUACCUAUUUUUUUCUUAUUGCAAAUGUUGCAGCCAACCAAGUAUCAUCAUGUGCACUGUACUCAUCAAGCAUAAACUCUCAAGCACUCAAGAACUCAUUUUCUUCCUCAAUCUGAUAAAGAAAUUUGUUGAAUACAUUACCUUCCUUCUCAUCGCCAUUAGAGUUUCUAAAUAAGAAGCCUACUUUCUUUGCAGCAUUUUGCAAUAAAUGCCAUAUACAAAGUCGAUGGUACAUAUCAGGCAUCACAUGUAAAACAGCCUUGGCUAUCGUUGCAUCUUGAUCAGUAAAAGAUGUUUGGGGAGGCUUCCCACAUAUUGCCUUCAAAAAGGUUUCAAACAACCAAAUAAAGGAUGCAGCAGUCUUGUCGUACAUUAGAGCAGCUCCAAAUAUAACCGCUUCUCUGUGGUGAUUUAAUCCAACAAAGACUGCAAAUGGUCGAUUUGCUUCAUUAAGUUUGUAUGUGGUAUCAAAACUUACCACAUCUCCAAAUAUACCAUAAUCCAUUAUCAUUUUAGCAUUGGCCCAAAAAUGUUAGUGAUUUGGUCCUCACUGUCCAAUUGCAUCCCAUAAAAGAAUGAUGGAUUUUCUAACAUCUGCUUUGAAAAAUAUUCCAUCAAAUAACCAGCUUCUCCUAAUUUCAUUUUUCUUUGUCGGACAGUUCGAAGAUAGUUCUUUUGGUUUUGCCUUGUAAAACCCAAUGACUCUCUUCCACCAGCUUGCUGGCUCAUUAAUUCAAAUGCAGACUUUUGCGGUACUCCUGAAUUUGUAGUCAAGUCUAUAAAAGCAUUAUCUGUAGAUGUUACAUUUCGAUAAGAUGGUAACCAUUGCACACAGUCUUAUAUGACAAGAGGAUGAUUAUGCUCUUCAGAGAAACGGUAAACGCAAUACUUUCCUGUAUGCCUAACCAACUUAAUCCCAGGGCUGGCCCUGGGGCAAGACGGACCAGGCCUGGGUCUAAGGCCUCAAAAUUUGGGGGCCUCAAAUUUUUUUUAUAUAGGUAUGUACAAAAAAAAAAAAAAAAAAGUUAGAAUAAGAGUAGAAGACCUGGCGUCUCUUACUCUUUCUUUUCAGUUCUGCACACGUCCAAAUCAAUAUAGAAGAAGAAGAUCGCGACUCUUCAGUCUUCAGUACAAAAAAAAGAAGAAAAAGAUCGCUCUCCGAAGAAAUCAAAGAAAAAAGAAGACAAACCUCCAAAUCUUUGAUUGAAAGGAAUCAAGGAAAACAUCAAUUCUGAAGCUAAAAAGGUAUAUAUGUUCUUUUACCCUUUCAUCUCUAUUCUCUAAAGCUAUUUCCUUUCUAUUUUAAAGAAAUUGCGAUUUUCCGUUAGUCCUUACUGGCUUAGUACGAUAAUCCCUUUGAAUUGUUUGUAUAUAUUUGGACGUAUGAUAUCUAGAUAUUGAAAAACACAUACUCUUUGAUUUCGUAUUGAUGUCUAGAUUUUUGUAAAACACAGUAUUUUAUCAUGGCUCCUGGUAGAAAGUUUAAGUCUGGAGCUCAAAAAAGGAAAGAGAAAAAGAGGAUAGAAGCUGUACAUAAACCUCUAGCUAGUUGGUUCUAUUAAUAAGUAUUUAGUACCAAGAGAAAAGAAUCAAAGCAUAAUGGUGAAUGAUCAUGAUGUUAAAGAGGCAGAGAUUGAGAAAAAUAAUGAUCAUGAUGUUGAAGAGGAAGAGAUUGAGGAAAAUAGUGAUCAUGAUGUUGAAGAGGCAGAGAUUGAGGAAAAUAUUGAAGAUGUUCACACUAUAGAGCCAAAUCAGUCAGUAGGGAAAAACAAUGAUAUUAUCAAUGAAGAAAGUCAUACUGCAAAUUCAAGAGAAGAAGUUCCGUUUGACAUGGAUGAUCCAGGGAAUUGGAAUAAAACAUACCAAAAUAUUACAGAAUUUUUGGUUGAAAGAGGCACCAAAAGAGUCAAUAAUGUGAUCUUUCCGAAAGAUACAUGUGAGAGGUCUUUUUCUUUAAGGCAUUACUUCAAGGAAUUACCGAAUGGAGAGAAACGUACAAGAUAGAAAGUGGCUGGUAUAUUCGGUUUCUUUGGAUAAAGUCUUUUGCUUCUGUUAUAAAUUGUUUGCAAAGAAGCAUCUUGUGGGGCAAAUAGUUGAUGAAGACAUGAAUGAUUGACACAACUGUUCUGAUCGACUUAAAAGUCAUGAAGGAAAUAGGUAUCAUAUUGCGGCAAUGAAAAGUUGGAUAGAGUUGGCCAAAAGGUUGAAAAUAAAGUUAACAAUUGAUGCAAGUCUGCAAUCAAGAAAAAGAACACUGGAAACAAGUAUUAGAAAGAAUUUUUGCAGUUGUGGAAAGAUUUGCGAAAAAAAAUUUAGCUUUUCGUGGAGAUAAUGAAAAGCUAUAUAAGGAGAAUAAUGGUCUUUUCUUAUAGAUGAUAGAACUGCUUGCUGAAGUUGAUCCGAGUAUAAAAAAAACAUCUUGGACGUAUUAAUAAAGGUGAGGCUCAAUAUCAUUAUUUGAGUCACAAAAAUGAAAUUAUUCAAUUGUUGGCAGGUGAGGUGAAAAGCUCAAUUAUCAGCAGAAUCAAAGAAGCCAAAUAUUUUUCAGUUAUUCUUGACUGUACUCUAGAUGCAAGUAAUGAGGAACAUAUGUCUCUUGUAAUAAGAAUUGUCAAUGUUUCGGCUACUCCAGUUGUGGUUGAAGAAUAUUUUUUAGGUUUGUUGAAGGUAGCUAACACAUCAGGUCUUGGACUACUUAAUGAACUUCUAAGUGAAUUGAAGACUCUUGAACUUGAUGCAAGUGAUAUAAGAGGACAAGGGUAUGACAAUGGAUCCAACAUGAAAGGUAAAAAUAAAGGUGUGCAAAGUAGACUACUUGAAAUAAAUCCAAGAGCAUUUUACACACCUUGUGCUUGUCAUUCUCUAAACCUUGUGCUUUCUGAUAUGGCUCAUUAUUGUCCCAUAGCUGAGUCUUUCUUUGGUGUAGUGCAACGAUUAUACUGUUUGUUUGCAGCUUCUACAAAAAGAUGGCAGGUUUUUAAAGAGCAUGUGACAGUUCUCACUUUAAAACCAUUAUCAGAAACUUGUUGGAAAAGCCGUGUGGAGAGUAUUAAAGCAAUAAGGUAUCAAACUCCAGAAAUAAGACAAGCUUUGAUGCAUAUUGUGAACAACAAAAAAGAAGAUGCCAAGGCAAAAAGUGAUGCUGAUGCUGAUGCUUUAGCAAAAUAUAAUCUUCAGAAUUUUGAGUUCUUGUUGGGAAUGUUUAUAUGGUAUGAGUUGUUAUAUGCGGUUAACAAUGUCAGCAAAGUUCUGCAAACUGAAGAUACGCAUAUUGAUAUAGCCAUCAAAGAAUUGGAACGUCUUCUUUCUUUGCUUCAAAAGUUCAGAGAAACUGGGUUUGAGGAGUCUUUGAUUGAAGCUAAAAAGAUUGCAAGUGAGAUGGAGAUUGAACCGAUAUUCAUGGAAAAACAGACAAUUCACACAAAAAGACAAUUUGAUGAAAGCUCUACUGAAGCAGUGAUACAAUCAGCUACAGAAUCAUUCAAAACCAACUACUUUCUCUACAUAGUUGAUCAAGCUAUUUCUUCAUUCAAAACCAGGUUAGAACUAUAUACAUUAUAUUUAAUUUUUAGUUAAGGAGCAUGAUAUUUAUAUAAGUUAUUGAUUUUUAUUUUUUUUUAAACCAGGUUUGAACAAUUUAAGAAAUAUGAAGAAAAUUUUGGACUUUUGUUUGAUUUGGUUAAGUUAAGGUCUGCUGAUAGAGAUACAUUGAAUAGCUUUUGUGCUAACCUCACAAAUAUAUUGAAGCAUGGCGAGAUUUCUGAUCUUAAUGAGGAUGAUUUAUUCCAUGACUUGCGAAUGUUGUAUCAAGAUUUACCCAUUGAAACAAAAAGAGCAAUAGAUGUGUUGAAUAUUAUAUAUAAAAGAUGUGGAUGGCUGCUAUCCACAUGCUUCGAUUGCUUAUAGGAUUCUGCUAACCAUACCAGUCAUAGUUGCCUCUGCAGAAAGAAGUUUUUCAAAGUUGAAAUUGAUCAAAACUUACCUUCGGUCUACUAUGUCACAAGAAAGAUUGAGUGGUUUGGCUAUGAUAUCUAUAGAAAAAGACAUAGUUGAAAAACUUGAUUAUGCAAAUUUGAUUAGUACCUUUGCAUCUAAAAAUGAAAGACGAGCUAUAUUUCAGUAAUAGUUUUAUAUUGUGGUAUGAUUUUUUGUAAUAUUUUGAGUUUUAUUUUAUUUUAUAUUUUUUUUGGGGGCCUCAAAUAUAUUCUCACCUUGGGCCUUUAUGGACAUAGGGUCGGCCCUAUUUAAUCCCCAUAAUCGCUCCACAUUCUUGUCUGUGCUCUUGGAUUUUUUGUCAAAUCGUCUCUCUUAUCUUCUUUUCGAAAACCUUCCUUACAACAUACAAAAGUCCUUGAAGUGAGUACACUUUUUUUAUCCUUGCCAUAACCGUCUCUUCUAAUGCUAAAGCCUUCACUGCGAGCAUAUGCAUUAUAAAAGUUGAAUGCAGCAAUCUUAGAAUCAAACUCCAUAUAAUAUUUAGGUUUCAAAUCUUUUUUUGAUUUCUCCAAACUAUUGUUGUUUUCUCCCACAGACUUUUCCACUCUUAAAACCUAUAUUCAACAAUCACAAGAACAUACACAAAAGUGAGAUUCAAUCUCAAAAUUAUAAUUCAAAUAGAAUAAACACAAGCCAACAGCCAAUCCAAUUUACAGUGCACCAGAAACAAUCCAACUUCAAUCCUUAGAAUUCAAAUGGAAGAAAACCCAGUAGCAGAAAUCACAUAAACCAUAAUUCAAAUGGAAGAAAAACAAGCCAAACUAAAACCCAAGUUGGAGAUCGAACCUCAAACCCAGUAGUGAAAAGUUGGAAGCUUGGGAUAUGGUGGAGGACGUCGUGGAGAGAGAGAGGACGUGGAGGACGUCGCUGGCGUAACCAGAGGACGUGGAGAACGUG
rnacentral:lncRNA from 1 species